UUGAGUUUUAAGCCAACUUUUUCACUCUCCUCUUUCACUUUCUUCAAGAAGUUCUUUAGUUCUUCUUCACUUUCUGCCAUAAGGGUGGUGUCAUCUGCAUAUCUGAGGUUAUUGAUAUUUCUCCAAGCAAUCUUGAUUCCAGUUUGUGCUUCAUCCAGCCCAGCAUUUCUCAUGAUGUACUCUGCAUGGAAGUUAAAUAAGCAGGGUGACAAUAUACAGCUUUGAUGUACUCCUUUUCCUAGAAAAGGAAUACAGAGGAGCCCAGUAGGCAACAAUCCAUGGGACUGCAAUAGAAUUGGACAGGACUUAGUAACUAAACAACAACUUAUCAGGAGAUACUGCAGCAGAUGAAACUAUUUCCAAAUUAGUAAAUCCUUGUUAAUCCUUGUAAGUAUCAACCAGGAGUCAAUGAGCUCCUUCUUUGUACAUAAAGGGGUUAAUUUACACCUGAAACUCAUUAUCCCCAGAGGUUGGUUUGGAUUGCAAAUACAACCAUGCUUAAGCAAGGUUGAUUUCAGGGUUGUUGGGGAAGCAGGCAGGUUGGGGAUGAAGAGUUAACAGCUAUAACCCAGAUCAGAUGAAGAAAGCGACACCUCACUGUUCAGCCAAGUGCUUCCUCCUUCUUCCUUGGGAUCUGCCUGCCUUCCAGCCUUCCUCCAAGGCUUCUCCUUGCCUCUCCUAUUGGCUGUCUCACUCUGAGGCAGGAAGAGAAAUCUGGUCGGUGGCUGACUUAGUCAUUUAUUCCCUAAUAAGUUAGCGAGAGCUCGUUUCACAGCACCGGAGGGCAUGAUGUAAUUACUUCUAACACAGAAUCUGAGAUCAGAAUAUACACAGCUAAUUAAAGUUUCCCACUUAAGUCCCAGGUAAGAAUUUCCUCUAGCAAAUGCUUUUUUUUUUUGAAAAAUAGACUUAAGAACGCCUGAAAUUGUUUAAAAUCCUGUAGCUUAUAAAAUAAAGCUCUAAUGAGCCUGUCUUUCUUUUUUUUUAACAGAUCUUUGGUUUGAGUGUGGAUAAAGCAGUUAUCACAAAAUCAUCUGAGAAAUAAAAGAAAUCUUGAUUUAACAUGAAAACCUUUCUAUUCUGUAAGUGAACUCGUUUGACCUAGAUCUAUCCUUUAAAGGACAAUUGGCUGUAAGAAAUUCUAAGGUUGUUCUCAGAAUUCUAAGACAAUUGGUAAAUAUUGAUAUAAAAGUCGGGUUCAUUAGCGACACCGAUUUGAUUUUCCUGAAAAUCGGCCAGACGGCAAGUUCUCACUUUUAUCCACCUUCAUUGUUACUCUCCAUAGCAACUGAAAACUUUUCUGGGCUGAAAUAAUCCUCUCUAGCUCCCAGCGCACAGUCAAGGAAUUUUAAAAACAGAGGACUUUGUAACCACGAAAUACCCUCCAAGAUUUAAAAGGCCACAGAGCUCCAGAUAAAUAAUCAUUUAUCUUUCUUCUGAAGGUAAGCACUGGGUUUAGAAAUGUUUGUAUCAUCCUCUGUCAUUUUUAAAUGCUAACAUAAGAAUCUUAAACUUGCUCUCUUUUUAAACCAUAAAAGUAAUCCUAGUAUUUUUGUUACUACCCAGCCAUUUUAGAUCAUCUCUGGGCCA
ensembl:lncRNA